UGGCUGGCAGGAUAACCUGCUCUGAUACUAUGUAAGAAGCUGGUGUGGUAGCAAGCACGAGGAGGCAACUAAGUUACCAAAGAGUGCAAGAGAGGCAAGAGAAGCAAUCAAAGUUGCUGAGUAUGCCGAGAAAUUACUAGCAAGGAAGAAGAGAAAGAGAAUAAUUUUUGUAUAUAUCUUUUCCUGUCCAGAAGUUACAAUUUAUACAAUUAUAAAUGUUAUAUGUAAGGAAACCAAAUAAAGAAAAUAAAUGUAGAUGAACACAUACAAGGUAAUUACCUAAACUACAUAUUUAGAGACUACUACACAUCUCCUAAAUAUGGUUUGUCACAUGUCAACAAAUAGUUCUUGAACAGCAUGGAAAUAUGGCUCCUGCCGCCCGAAUGGCUAUGACUAGAAGAGUUCACCCUCUUGUUUCCUUGAAUCCCUACCAAGGCAAUUGGAUACAAGCAAAGGGAAAGGCGUACUUACAGGAAUGCAAGAGGAGAAGGGUGUGUCUUCAAUGUGGAGUUAACAGAUCAAGAUGUAAGUCAAAAAGUUAAUCUGCGUAAACAAUUUUUCCUUUAGGGUCAUGUAAACGUGAAAUUAUAAUAAUGUUAGGGGUGUUUCUCGUAGGCAGGAGAUGUAUGGGUUGUCUAUUUGUAGUCGUAAUAUAAGGAUUGGUGCGGCUGAUGGGUUUGGUGAUUGUGUUGGGAUGGUUAAUAGCUGCUGGGAGUUACCAAAUAUUGUGUUGGCUGGUGCAAUUGCAGUCAGAAUCUAUAUAUAUAAAGGGCAGUAUAGUGGUCUGCUUGAUAAUUUUUUCUUUUGCAUUCUAGAUGGUUAUUUUGGUGAUUAUGCAGAUCUGAAAUUUACUGGGGUUUUGUUGCACUGGUUAGAAUGGACAGCAGUUGUAUAUGGCUGUUUAUAUUUUGAUUUUUGCUGUCACUGUGUAGGGCUGGGAGUGCAACAGAAUGGAUCAUUGCUUAUAUGUUUUUCCCUUCCUUUUGCUUGUGAUAAUAGUGCUAAAAUCUUAUACAGCAGGAAUUUGUUUUUUGUCUUGGAUUGCUGGGUUUUAUAGAUUAUUUUUGUAGUGCUGAGUUCAGGGGGCAGCAUUUUUUUGCUGGUUUUGUGGAUACGCUGUCCGUGUAAAGGGUUUGCUGUUUUUUUUUUUUAGCAAUCUAGAGUGCUUUUUGCUCUGCUGUAGAUUGCUUUGUUGCUGGGCACCAGGUUUGGAUAUCUUUCUUUCUGACUCUUUUUUGGUUGUUCCGUAGCUCUUUGGCUUGUCAAAGGGUUGGCGAUAGGUUGUAUUUUUUUAUUCUUUAAUUAAAUUAUUAUCUUUUAACAUGUUAGUGAUGAAUGGUUAAAAUUGAUCUGUUUGGUGCAGGGCACACAAAUACAAGCAAAAAUGAAGCUGCAAGGAAAUUCUAUGACAGGUGCCAAUUGGGAAAGGUGUAUUACAUAUCUCGGGGAACACUUAGGUUGGUAACCAGCAAUUCAAGACUGUGCAAAAUGAUAAUGAAAUGAGCUUGAACAAAAUGAUUUUGGCAUCACUUUUGAGGUUGUCUGCGCUCUUUGGCCUUGGAAGGUGCGGGAAUUGGCAGAAAAAGAGCCUGAUAAUGGAGUCUUUAAAAUGCUUCGCUGUGAUGUUACUCUGUUUUUAACGACUAUUCUCAUUGGCACAACGUAUUACCCUCCCCCUUAAUUGUGGCAAAUAUUGGAGCCACUGCAUUGGUCACAGAGGUAGCAACAGCUUUAUUUGGUGAGGCUGGUGUCAGGGCAGCAACAGGAGUAAUGACUGUUUCAUUGGGUUCUUGUUGCUAUUGACAUGAACACUUAGGGUUGCUAACAAGCAGUUCAUGGGAAAGAAAUAUACGAAGAUGUAGAGGUUGAUGAAGUCAGAGGAGAAUGGGCGAUGUACGUAUCAAACAUUUUUUAGUCAUUGUUGUUUCAGUGAUGUUAGAGGCCAAUGAGGGCAAAAACUAUGUA